rnacentral:rRNA from 1 species
GUCGAGAAUCUUUCACAAUGGGGGCAACCCUGAUGGAGCGACGCCGCGUGGAGGAUAAGGUCUUCGGAUUGUAAACUCCUGUCAUGCGUGAACAAGGUUGCUUGGUAAAUACCUGGGCAAAUUGAUGGUAACGCAAGAGGAAGAGACGGCUAACUCUGUGCCAGCAGCCGCGGUAAUACAGAGGUCUCAAGCGUUGUUCGGAAUCACUGGGCGUAAAGGGUGCGUAGGUGGCUUGGUAAGUCAGAUGUGAAUGCCCGGGGCUCAACCUCGGAACUGCAUCCGAUACUGCCAUGCUAGAGUACUGGAGAGGUGACUAGAAUUCUCGGUGUAGCAGUGAAAUGCGUAGAUAUCGAGAGGAAUACCAAAGGCGUAGGCAGGUCACUGGACAGUUACUGACACUGAGGCACGAAGGCCAGGGGAGCGAACGGGAUUAGAUACCCGUGUAGUCC